GCGUAACGCGCUAUGGCUUAAACGGCUGCCCCAAAGCUGCCAAAGGUUACGGCAAGUCCACAGAAUUGCAAGUUCGUUUUGCAAGCGGCGGAUGCGCAUUGCACAAAGGACCGUGUACUUGCCCGCUCACAUUGGGCGGUUCCGUUGCUGCAAACUUGUUCUGGUAAAAAACUUUGGGAAAAAUCCGUCUGCUAACGAACAGCAGGCGGAUUUUU
ncrna:unclassified sequences FuFi-1 RNA